UGCCAAUUAGCCAUGACCUUCAGCCCUAGCAAUGCAGAGGGAUUCUAGGGGAGAGUGGAACCAAUGGCUGGGCUGGAACCUGCAUGCCAGCACCUCCCCCACAUGCUGUUGGUCAAGCCAGAUUCAAGAGAUGGGGAAACAGACUCCGCCUCUGGAUGCCGCAAAGUCCCACGGCAAAGGGCAGGAAUAUAGAGGGAAAUCUUCCAUAAAAGCAGAAGAGGACAAGAGUUCAGAUGAGCUUCCAGGUAGCUGAACAUC
rnacentral:lncRNA from 10 species